UACGAAGGGUGCAAACGUUGCUCGGAAUCAUUGGGCGUAAAGCGCACGUAGGCGGCUAUCUAAGUCGGGUGUGAAAGCCCUCGGCUUAACCGAGGAAGUGCAUUCGAAACUACUGAGCUUGAAUACUGGAGAGGAUCGCGGAAUUCCCGGUGUAGAGGUGAAAUUCGUAGAUAUCGGGAGGAACACCAGUGGCGAAGGCGGCGAUCUGGACAGAUAUUGACGCUGAGGUGCGAAAGCGUGGGGAGCAAACAGG
rnacentral:rRNA from 1 species